rnacentral:rRNA from 1 species
AUUGAACGCUGGCGGCAGGCCUAACACAUGCAAGUCGAGCGGAUGAAGAGAGCUUGCUCUCUGAUUUAGCGGCGGACGGGUGAGUAAUGCCUAGGAAUCUGCCUGGUAGUGGGGGAUAACGUCCGGAAACGGGCGCUAAUACCGCAUACGUCCUACGGGAGAAAGCAGGGGACCUUCGGGCCUUGCGCUAUCAGAUGAGCCUAGGUCGGAUUAGCUAGUUGGUGAGGUAAUGGCUCACCAAGGCUACGAUCCGUAACUGGUCUGAGAGGAUGAUCAGUCACACUGGAACUGAGACACGGUCCAGACUCCUACGGGAGGCAGCAGUGGGGAAUAUUGGACAAUAGGCGAAAGCCUGAUCCAGCCAUGCCGCGUGUGUGAAGAAGGUCUUCGGAUUGUAAAGCACUUUAAGUUGGGAGGAAGGGCAGUAAGUUAAUACCUUGCUGUUUUGACGUUACCGACAGAAUAAGCACCGGCUAACUUCGUGCCAGCAGCCGCCGUAAUAC